AGACUGGAUGCUCAGCUGCUACAGCCUCUGAGCCGUGGCUCUGUGUGUCCAGAUCAGCU
rnacentral:miRNA from 1 species